AAAAAAAAAAAAAAAAAAAAAAAAAAAAAAAAAAAAAGAGAUCCGGGGCGACGACGACUC
rnacentral:rRNA from 1 species